rnacentral:rRNA from 1 species
UCCGUAGUCGGUUGUGCAAGUCCUCUGUUAAAACCUGCGGCUUAACCGUAGGAGUGCAGAGGAUACUACGUGGCUCGAGGCCGGGAGAGGCAAGGGGUAUUUCCGGGGUAGCGGUGAAAUGCUAUAAUCCUGGGAGGACCACCGACAGCGAAAGCACCUUGCUAGAACGGGCCUGACGAUGAGGGACGAAAGCGUGGGGAGCGAACAGGAUUAGAUACCCUGGUAGUCC